rnacentral:rRNA from 1 species
GACGAACGCUGGCGGCGUGCCUAAUACAUGCAAGUUGAGCGCUGAAGGUUGGUACUUGUACCAACUGGAUGAGCAGCGAACGGGUGAGUAACGCGUGGGGAAUCUGCCUUUGAGCGGGGGACAACAUUUGGAAACGAAUGCUAAUACCGCAUAAAAACUUUAAACACAAGUUUUAAGUUUGAAAGAUGCAAUUGCAUCACUCAAAGAUGAUCCCGCGUUGUAUUAGCUAGUUGGUGAGGUAAAGGCUCAUCAAGGCGAUGAUACAUAGCCGACCUGAGAGGGUGAUCGGCCACAUUGGGACUGAGACACGGCCCAAACUCCUACGGGAGGCAGCAGUAGGGAAUCUUCGGCAAGGGACGAAAGUCUGACCGAGCAACGCCGCGUGAGUGAAGAAGGGUUUCGGAUCGUAAAACUCUGUUGGUAGAGAAGAACGUUGGUGAGAGUGGAAAGCUCAUCAAGUGACGGUAACUACCCAGAAAGGGACGGCUAACUACGUG